ensembl:lncRNA
AUUUUAAUCAGUCAAAGGGAAUAACAAACCUUAAGAAAGAAAGAAGCUGAAGAUCUGAACACAUUUCUAGAUCUAAGCAAGUAUUCAUCUCUCUCUCUCUUUCUCUGUCUCUUUUAAACAGCAUCUUUUUAGCCAGAAGACUUUUUGGAGCAAAGCCAAGUGUGAAAUCAGAGUUUCUCAUUGCUAUGUUCCUGACAGAAUCAUAGCAGAAAGGUCUCCAAAUUGCCUGAUGGGCUGUAGAUUGAUUUCUGUACCACAGGUACAUUUGCUCAUUUACAACCAUUCUCAGCAUUUUCAAAAAAGGAUGCCUAAAAGUGUGAUGGUAUCCGGAUGUAUGGAGCAUACAGUUCAGGUGAGUAUUCUGGUUUUGGUCUAAUAUUUGAAAACACCUCACCAAAAUGACAGCCCUAGCAGUGUUUUGUGAAGAGCAGCUCUGUGGACUCCAGCAUACAUCACCAUGAGUAUCGCUCACUGGAUCUGGGGUCAGCGUUAAGGCCUCUGGAGCUCAACCUGUGG